rnacentral:rRNA from 1 species
AAUGAACGCUGGCGGCAUGCCUAAUACAUGCAAGUCGAACGAACGCACAAGAAGAUCUUUCUCCUAAGGUUGGCGGCUGACGGACGGGUGACAAAUGCAUAAGAAUCUUCUUAUUCGGGGAGGAUAACGGAAGAACACUUCUGCUAAUACAGCAUACUAUCUACGGCAUAAAUCAAAAGAUCAAGACAGCCUUCGCGACUGAAAUAGCCGGCGCCGCAUUAGCUAGUUGGCAAGGUAACGGCUUACCAAGGCAACGAUGCAUAGCCGACCUGAGAGGGUGAUCGGCCACACUGGAACUGAGACACGGUCCAGACCCCUACGGGAGGCAGCAGUAGGGAAUCUUCCGCAAUGGGCGAAAGCCUGACGGAGCAACGCCGCGUGAGUGAUGAAGGUCUUCGGAUCGUAAAACUCUGUUAUUAGGGAAGAACAUAUGUGUAAGUAACUGUGCACAUCUUGACGGUACCUAAUCAGAAAGCCACGGCUAACUACGUG